AGAGUUUGAUCCUGGCUCAGAGCGAACGCUGGCGGCGUGCUUAACACAUGCAAGUCGAACGCGCAGCAAUCUGUAGCAAUACAGGUUGUGGGCGCGUGGCGAACGGGUGCGUAACACGUGGAUAACCUUCCUUCAGGUGGGGAAUAACCCAGUGAAAAUUGGGCUAAUACCGCAUAACAAAACGAGAAGACAUCUUUUUGUUUUCAAAGGCGCAAGCCGCCAGAAGAGGGAUCCGCGGCCGAUUAGCUUGUUGGCGGGGUAAUGGCCCACCAAGGCAAUGAUCGGUAGCCGGACUGAGAGGUUGGCCGGCCACACUGGAACUGAGACACGGUCCAGACUCCUACGGGAGGCAGCAGUGGGGAAUCUUGCACAAUGGGCGAAAGCCUGAUGCAGCAACGCCGCGUGGGGGAUGAAGCUUCUCGGAGUGUAAACCCCUUUCGACCCGGAAGAAAGCCCGCAAGGGUUUUGACGGUACGGGUAUAAGAAGCCCCGGCUAACUACGUGCCAGCAGCCGCGGUAAAACGUAGGGGGCCAGCGUUGCUCGGAAUUACUGGGCGUAAAGGGUCCGUAGGCGGUGUGGCAAGUCGGUAGUGAAAUCUCUAGGCUUAACCUAGAGGCUGCUGCCGAAACUGCCGUGCUAGAGUGUGAGAGAGGCGAGUGGAAUUACGGGUAGCGGUGAAAUGCGUAGAUAUCCGUAGGAACAUCCGAGGCGAAAGCGGCUCGCUGGAUCACAACUGACGCUGAGGGACGAAAGCUAGGGGAGCAAACAGGAUUAGAUACCCCGGUAGUCC
rnacentral:rRNA from 1 species